UGGGGAAUAUUGGACAAUGGGCGCAAGCCUGAUCCAGCCAUGCCGCGUGAGUGAUGAAGGCCCUAGGGUUGUAAAGCUCUUUCACCGGUGAAGAUAAUGACGGUAACCGGAGAAGAAGCCCCGGCUAACUUCGUGCCAGCAGCCGCGGUAAUACGAAGGGGGCUAGCGUUGUUCGGAUUUACUGGGCGUAAAGCGCACGUAGGCGGACUAUUAAGUCAGGGGUGAAAUCGCGGGGCUCAACCCCGGAACUGCCUUUGAUACUGGUAGUCUUGAGUUCGAGAGAGGUGAGUGGAAUUCCGGGUGUAGAGGUGAAAUUCGUAGAUAUUCGGAGGAACACCAGUGGCGAAGGCGGCUCACUGGCUCGAUACUGACGCUGAGGUGCGAAAGCGUGGGGAGCAAACAGG
rnacentral:rRNA from 1 species